rnacentral:rRNA from 1 species
UAAUAAGCAAUAUAAGAGCAUCUGGUGGAUGCCUUGGCGAUUGCAGGCGAUGAAGGACGUAGCAGGCUGCGAUAAGCCGCGGGGAGGGGCCAACACCCUUUGAUCCGCGGAUUUCCGAAUGGGGAAACCCGGCCCGUAUGGGUCAUCCUGAUCUGAAUACAUAGGAUCAGGAAGCAAACCCGGUGAACUGAAAUAUCUAAGUAGCCGGAGGAAAGGACAUCAAAAGAGACUCUCCUAGUAGUGACGAGCGAACGGGGAUCAGGCCAAUGCUUUAUGUGUAAGAACUGGAACCAUCUGGAAAGGUGGGCCAUAGUGGGUGAUAGCCCCGUACGGGUAGAAAGCACAUAAAGAUCCGAGUAAGGCGGGACACGUGAAAUCCUGUCUGAACAUGGGGGGACCGCCCUCCAAGCCUAAGUACUCGCAAUCGACCGAUAGUGAACCAGUACCGUGAGGGAAAGGCGAAAAGAACCCCGACGAGGGGAGUGAAAUAGAACCUGAAACCGGAUGCUUACAAGCAGUCGGAGGGGCUUUAUGCCCUGACGGCGUACCUCUUGUAUAAUGGGUCAGCAACUUAGUGUUGCAUGCAAGCUUAAGCCGUUAGGUGUAGGCGUAGCGAAAGCAAGUGUUAACUGCGCGAUUUAGUAUGUAGCAUUAGACUCGAAACCGGGUGAUCUAGCCAUGGCCAGGCUGAAGGUGAGGUAACACUCACUGGAGGGCCGAACCCACGUCUGUUGAAAAAGACGGGGAUGAGCUGUGGUUAGGGGUGAAAGGCCAAGCAAACUCGGAUAUAGCUAGUUCUCCGCGAAAACUAUUUAGGUAGUGCGUCGCAUGAAUACCUGUGGGGGUAGAGCACUGGAUGGGCUAGGGGGACUCACCGUCUUACCAAACCUAACCAAACUCCGAAUACCAUAGAGUACUAUGCGGCAGACAGACUGUGGGUGAUAAGGUCCAUGGUCGAGAGGGAAAGAGCCCAGACCUACAGCUAAGGUCCCCAAGUCAUGGCUAAGUGGCAAAGGAUGUGAGAAAACCAAAACAACCAGGAGGUUGGCUUAGAAGCAGCCAUCCUUUAAAGAAAGCGUAACAGCUCACUGGUCUAAUUAAGUUUUCUUGCGCCGAAGAUGUAACGGGGCUAAAGCCAUGCACCGAAGCUUAGGGCGCAUUUAUGCGCGGUAGCGGAGCGUUCCGUAAGCCUGUGAAGGUGGUCCGUAAGGGCUGCUGGAGGUAUCGGAAGCGAGAAUGCUGACAUGAGUAGCGAUCAGACGAGUGAGAGACUCGUCCGCCGAAAUCCCAAGGGUUCCUGCCCAAUGCUAAUCAGGGCAGGGUUAGCCGGCUCCUAAGGCGAGGCCGAAAGGCGUAGUCGAUGGGAAUCACGUUAAUAUUCGUGAGCCUGCUGGUGGUGACGCAUCCUGUAUAUCGUAUCUCCUUAUUGGAUUGGAGGUGCGGUGAAGGGGUGCCAGGAAAUAGCCCCAGCGUAUAGACCGUACCCGAAACCGACACAGGUGGGAAGGUAGAGUAUACCAAGGUGUUUGAGAGAACGAUGCUGAAGGAACUAGGCAAAUUGCACCCGUAACUUCGGAAGAAGGGUGGCCUUUAUUUGGGCAACCAGAUAAAGGCGGCACAUAGCAGGGGGUUGCGACUGUUUAUUAAAAACACAGGGCUCUGCAAAGUCUUUAAGACGACGUAUAGGGUCUGACGCCUGCCCAGUGCCGGAAGGUUAAGUGAUGGGGUUCACGCCCUGGAUCGAAGCCCCGGUGAACGGCGGCCGUAACUAUGACGGUCCUAAGGUAGCGAAAUUCCUUGUCGGGUAAGUUCCGACCCGCACGAAUGGCGUAACGACAUCCCCACUGUCUCCAGCAUUGACUCAGCGAAAUUGAAUUCUCCGUGAAGAUGCGGAGUUCCCGCGGUUAGACGGAAAGACCCCGUGAACCUUUACUAUAGCUUUACACUGGUAUUAGGGACAAAAUGUGCAGGAUAGGUGGGAGGCUUGGAAGCCAGAACGUCAGUUCUGGUGGAGCCAACGUUGAGAUACCACCCUUUUUGUUCUUGAUGCCUAACUGUGACCCGUGAAUCCGGGUCCGGGACAGUGUAUGGUGGGUAGUUUGACUGGGGCGGUCGCCUCCCAAAGAGUAACGGAGGCGCGCGAUGGUAAGCUCAGGACGGUCGGAAAUCGUCCUUCAAGAGUGUAAUGGCAUAAGCUUGCCUGACUGCAAGGCUGACAAGCCGAGCAGAGACGAAAGUCGGUCAUAGUGAUCCGGUGGUCCCUCGUGGUAGGGCCAUCGCUCAACAGAUAAAGGUACUCCGGGAUAACAGGCUGAUAGCGCCCAAAAGCUCAUAUCGACGGCGCUGUUUGGCACCUCGAUGUCAGCUCACUCAUCACGGGGCUGGAGAAGGUCCCAAGGAACAUGGCUGUUCGCCAUUUAAGAGGUACGUGAGCUGGGUUUAGAACGUCGUGAGACAGUUCGGUCCUUCUGCCGUGGGCGUAGGGUCUUGAGAGAAAGUUGCCCCUAAUACGAGAGGACCGGGGUGAACGUACCUCUGGUGUACCUGUUGUCGCGCCAGCGGCACCGCAGGAGUAACUAUGUACGGAAAGGAUAACCGCUGAAAGCAUCUAAGCGGAAACCUGCCUCGAGAUUAGGACUCCCAUUAGGGUCGUGGUAGACUACCACGUUGAUAGGCUGGGUGUGGAAGCGCGGUAACGUGUGAAGCUAACCAGUACUAAUCACCCGAUUGGCUUAUUAUUU